CAGUCGCCGCGGUAAUACGGAGGGAGCUAGCGUUGUUCGGAAUUACUGGGCGUAAAGCGCACGUAGGCGGCUUUGUAAGUUAGAGGUGAAAGCCUGGAGCUCAACUCCAGAAUUGCCUUUAAGACUGCAUCGCUUGAAUCCGAGAGAGGUGAGUGGAAUUCCGAGUGUAGAGGUGAAAUUCGUAGAUAUUCGGAAGAACACCAGUGGCGAAGGCGGCUCACUGGCUCGGUAUUGACGCUGAGGUGCGAAAGCGUGGGGAGCAAACAGGAUUAGAUACCCGAGUAGUCCCUGUCUCUUAUAC
rnacentral:rRNA from 1 species